rnacentral:pre_miRNA from 1 species
GGGGGCAGCACUGGAUCUUGGGCUGUGUCCCCGGCAUUCUGUGGUCCUGGGCCUGCGCUGUUGGGAUUCGCGCUCCCGGCUGCGCAGGCCCUC